CAUGGGAUCCAUGAACAAGAUGCUGGAGUUCCUGGUGAUUGGAGGGCAGGAGCACCCAUCGGAGGAGAGGGCAAAGGAAGCUGAAGAGACGGUGGGGUUCGAC